rnacentral:tRNA from 1 species
GGGGGUAUAGCUCAGUGGUAGAGUGUGUGCUUAGCAUGCACGAGGUCCUGGGUCCAAACCCAGUAUCUCCA